GCGGCGCUACACGCAUCCUGACUGUGGUGCGCUACGCGAAGCUCGAUUUCACGUACGAAGAGUUAGCGUGCUAAUAGCGCGCUAGAUGUCAUUUAGCGCUGAAAAUUGGGCCUCUAGCGUUAGCGUCCCGCGUCUUUGAUCUAAAAUUUUCGGCCCAAAAUGAAAUCGCUACGCGGGCCAAAGCCCAAGCCUACCAAUAGUCGAAUACUAUGCCCCCAACCCUCCUCUCGAGCGAAACCCUAUCCCCACUCAUGUCCUCAUCUCAAACAGGAACCAUGGCGGCGGCCGACCAACGACCAACCAUGGCGACGGCCUCGAGCUGCUACUCCAGCGAUUGACCUUCCUCGCCACUCCCUCCCAGCGACGGGGUAUUCCACUAUUCCUUCCACCAGGCGACGCAACUCCCGGACGUUUCCUCUCGGCUGCUCCCUCCUGGCCACUUCCUCUGCUGACGGCGACGACCGCAUCCACAAGGCGUCGGAGCACCCCGCGGCGACGGUGUCCACCAGGCGACCAUGAGCCAGCAAAUCCCGUCAGCAGGUGUUGGUGGCUCAAGCACUGCCUCAGUAGCAACACCUGCACUCCCUCAAGUUGAUUCGGAUGACCCUGCGUGGAAGUAUUGCACUCUUCCAGAUAGAGCUUCAACAUCACAAGAACAAGGGAAAAAGAAGAAGAGGCCUACUGCGCCCCCUAGAAAGAAGAGGAAGAAGAGCUUGCAAUCUCUCCUUAAUAGUGUCGAUGAGGAAGCUAUACUUUCUGCCUCUUCCAAUUCUUUUUCGUCGGAAUCAGAAGAUGAGUCUCCCUCGGCCCUUGCUGACUCGGAUUAAUUGCAUGGUUGGGUGUACCACUUUUGUUGUUUCAAAGUGUGCUGGUGGUAUGUUGUUAUGUUGCUAUGUCAAGUUAGUUGGCUGAACUUAUAAACCGGACCAUCUCAUGUUGUUUAUGUACCAUUUUUGUUAUUCAAAGUGUGCUGGUGGUAUGUUGCUAGUUGCUAUGCCAAACUUUGCUCUGUUAUGUAAUGAAUUGAACCAUCUCCUGAUAUAUGUCCUUAUUAUGUAUGGUAGGAACUACAUAAUACUAUGUUAUGUGGCUGUUUGCAUGAGUAUGGUAGGAACUACAUAAUACAGUAUCAUUUUUCUAUUAACUUGGCUGUAUGGUAGUUGA